rnacentral:rRNA from 1 species
CAAUAGCGUAUAUUAAAGUUGUUGCAGUUAAAAAGCUCGUAGUUGGAUUUCGGGGCAGCCUGGCUGGUCCGCCGCAAGGCGAGUACUGGUCAGCCGCCCUUCCUCUCGAAAGCCCCGACUGCUCUUUACUGUAGUGGUCGGGUAGUUCGGGACGUUUACUUUGAAAAAAUUAGGGUGUUCAAGGCAGGCCUACGCCUGAAUACAUUAGCAUGGAAUAAUGGAAGAGGACCUCGGUCCUAUUUUGUUGGUUUCCAGGGCCGAAGUAAUGAUUAAGAGGGACAGUUGGGGGCAUUCGUAUUUAAUUGUCAGAGGUGAAAUUCUCGGAUUUAUGAAAGACGAACAACUGCGAAAGCAUUUGCCAAGGAUGUUUUCAUUAA